rnacentral:rRNA from 1 species
AUGAACUUGAGAGUUUGAUCCUGGCUCAGAACGAACGCUGGCGGCAUGCCUAACACAUGCAAGUCGAACGAGACCUUCGGGUCUAGUGGCGCACGGGUGCGUAA